GGGAGGAGAGAGGUGAGGCUACAGAGGAAAGUUGAAGCUUUGAGAAGUCUAGCCUUGAAUGCCAACCAAGGCAGGUCCUGCUCUGGGCUCGGGAGUCACUCUGGGCCUCUAUUUUCAGAAGUGCCUGCUGUUCUCCAAGCAGUUCAUGCACCAGGGCAACGUGGCUGAGACCACCCGAUUUGAGAAGCUUGCUCAGGACCGCAAGAAACAGCUGGAGAUCCUGCAGCUGGCCCAGGCUCAGGGCCUCGACCCUCCCACCCACCACUUUGAGUUGAAGACAUUCCAGACUGUGAGGAUCUUCUCAGAACUCAACAGCACAGAAAUGCAUCUGAUCAUUGUCCGGGGAAUGAACCUCCCAGCCCCUCCAGGGGUGACUCCCGAUGACCUGGAUGCUUUUGUGCGGUUUGAGUUUCACUACCCUAACUCGGACCAGGCUCAAAAAAGCAAAACAGCUGUGGUGAAGAACACAAACUCUCCAGAAUUUGAUCAACUCUUCAAACUAAACAUCAACCGAAACCACCGGGGCUUCAAG
rnacentral:sRNA from 1 species